AUUGAACGCUAGCGGGAUGCCUUACACAUGUAAGUCGAACGGAGUGGCGCACGGGUGAGUAAUGUAUAGGAACGUGCCCAGUAGCGGGGGAUAACUACGCGAAAGGGUAGCUAAUACCGCAUACUAUUAGAGCGGCCGAUAUCGGAUUAGCUAGUUGGUGGGGUAAAGGCCAACCAAGGCGACGAUCCGUAGCUGGGUUGAGAGGACGAACAGCCACACUGGGACUGAGACACGGCCAAGACUCCUACGGGAGGCAGCAGUGGGGAAUUUUGGACAAUGGGGGAAACCCUGAUCCAGCCAUCCCGCGUGUGCGAUGAAGGCCUUCGGGUUGUAAAGCACUUUUGGCAGGAAAGCGGUACCUGCAGAAUAAGCACCGGCUAACUACGUGCCAGCCGCCGCGGUAAUAC
rnacentral:rRNA from 1 species